rfam:Rhizobium sp. NT-26 chromosome, complete genome.
CUACCAGGCCGGGCCCCUCUGGCAGCCAUUGGCUGUGAUGUCGGACUGGAAAA